rnacentral:tRNA from 1 species
GCCUGCCUGGCUCAGUCGGUAGAGCAUGUGACUCUUGAUCUUGACUUGUGAGUUUAAGCCCCAUGUUGGGUG